rnacentral:rRNA from 1 species
GUGAACGCUGGCGGCGUGCCUAAUACAUGCAAGUCGAACGGAGAUUAAGUAGCUUGCUAUUUAAUCUUCGUGGCGCACGGGUGAGUAAUAUAUAGCUAACUUGCCCAUUACUAAGGGACAACAGUUGGAAGCGACUGCUAAUACCUUAUACUCCGUAUCUAUAUAAGUAGAUACGGGAAAGUUUUUCGGUAAUGGAUAGGGCUAUAUCGUAUCAGCUAGUUGGUAAGGUAAUGGCUUACCAAGGCUAUGACGCGUAACUGGUCUGAGAGGAUGAUCAGUCACACUGGAACUGAGACACGGUCCAGACUCCUACGGGAGGCAGCAGUAGGGAAUAGUGCUCAAUGGGGGAAACCCUGAAGCAGCAACGCCGCGUGAAGGAGGACACUUUUCGGAGCGUAAACUCCUUUUCUUGGGAAAGAAUUAUGACGGUACCCAAGGAAUAAGCACCGGCUAACUCCGUG